rnacentral:rRNA from 1 species
CAUGCGUGGAAGCUAUACCUGACGUCGUUGGUGCUCUUUUUUGAGGUUGCUAGGUUGAAAUAGAAUGGGGGCUCGUCCGCGUGCUGGGGGUGGAGGAGGAUGGAAGAAGGGGCGUGCGUGUACGGGCGGCGGCCGCGCGGGGUAGGGCACGGGAAGAAACGGCGACCACGCGGGGUAGAGCAGCUGAAUAAACGGCGGCCACACGGGGAAGGGCGCCGGAAGGGGUGGUGGAGGGCGGGACGAGGUGGGAGGGAGCAGGGUGGUGGAGGAACGGGGCUAGGUGUGGAAGGUCUGGGGUUGUGGAGAUGGUUGCCGCGCGCGUCCAGAGGGAGGGUGAUGGCGGAGGGAGGAGAGAUCACCGGCCGAAGGGUUCGUGACUGCGUACAGGGUAGAGGGGUUAGGGUCUAGGCGAUCCCCCUAGGUCGCGAGUGGCGCGGGUAUCCCAGGGCGCGAUGGUGCCGCUUGAGCGGCCUAGGCCGGAGGGACCACCAGCACCUCAUGCUUCUGGUGGCCUAGGAGGGAGAGGGCGCUACUAUCCGAGAGGAGGUCGAGCGGAUGGUGCUGGUGUUGCCCCCCACCAUGGGGGUGAUGGACAGAAGUCGCUAACCCCAGAAGCCGGUGAGAGGGGACGGGCAAGGUGGUGGAGGGAGAGCUGACACCGUGCUAAUCACCACGACACGAGGUCGGCCGAGGAGACCGUUCGAACGUCUGCUGCACUGCUCCUCUUGGCCGUCAGAGGCCGGUCGCCCACCGCCGACGGAGACAGGAGGAGAGGGGGAUGCGGGCUCGUCGUUGUCCUUCUACCGCAACGCCACUUCACGCGGAGACAAAGGUCAAGGCAACCACGGAGAUGGCGCGCUCUACGUCGAGUGAAAAAAAAGAGGAUCUUUAGUAGAUGUUACGUUGUGAGUGAUUCUUUCUCUUCUCUUGUAGUUACAAGUAAACUUCAAACUAAACAACAAAUACCCUUUGCGUAUCUCUUUUCCCAUCAUUCUUACCUACCAGUAAAACAUAUUCGUUGAGAAAGGGAUCACCUCAAAACAACCCAUGACGUUGUAACUAAGGCGACACAUGAUCUACCGUCACACCGACACAUUUUUUAUUACUUACCUAUACAUACAAAAAUUCGAGUGAAACAAGAUAGUACGUCACGUAAUAUUUCG